ensembl:misc_RNA Metazoa_SRP Metazoan signal recognition particle RNA
GCUGGGCGUGGUGGCUCACGCCUGUAAUCCCAGCACUUUAGGAGGCCGAGGUGGGCGGAUCACCUGAGGUCAGGAGUUUGAGACCAGCCUGACCAACAUGGAGAAACCCCGUCUCUA